UACGUAGGGUGCGAGCGUUAAUCGGAAUUACUGGGCGUAAAGCGUGCGCAGGCGGUGAUGUAAGACAGGUGUGAAAUCCCCGGGCUUAACCUGGGAACUGCAUUUGUGACUGCAUGGCUGGAGUGCGGCAGAGGGGGAUGGAAUUCCGCGUGUAGCAGUGAAAUGCGUAGAUAUGCGGAGGAACACCGAUUGCGAAGGCAAUCCCCUGGGCCUGCACUUACGCUUAUGCACGAAAGCUAGGGGAGCAAACAGG
rnacentral:rRNA from 1 species